rnacentral:sRNA from 1 species
GCUGGGUGUAGUGGCGCAUGCCUGUAAUCCCAACAGCUCAGGAGACUGAAGCAGGAGGAUCAUGAGUUCAAAGCCAGCUUCAGCAAUUUAGCAAGGUACUAAGCAACUCGGUGAGACCCUGUCUCUC